CCUCUGGCCAGGCAGACACAGACCUGGGGGCCAGCAGAGCGACCAAGGAGCAGCACCAGCUUUCUGAUGGCAGCCUGCUCUUUCCAACAGUUCCCUACCAGAAUCCUGCCUCACUGGAGCAGAGGAUGCCAGCAUCAGCCGGGAACCACUCCUGUGCUAAAACCGCCUGGGUGGCCUGUGGCUUGAGGGCUUGAUGCGGAUGAAGCUGGAGGAAUGUUGUCUCUCCUCAGUCUCAUGGCAAGGACUGAUCUUGUUUUCUCUUCCCCACAGGGGGUUCCAGCCAGCAUCACAUUUUUUAGUCCCUCUGGCCUCACAUACAGUCUCAAGCACAUUCAGGAGUUAUCUGGUGACAAUAUCGAUCAAAUUAAGUUUGCAGCCAUCGGCCCCACUACGGCUCGCGCGCUGGCCGCCCAGGGCCUUCCUGUAAGCUGCACUGCAGAGAGCCCCACGCCACAAGCCCUGGCCACUGGCAUCAGGAAGGCUCUCCAGCCCCAUGGCUGCUGCUGAGUCAGCCACCUAGCACUUGCCCCAUGCAGCCUCCCUGGGCUGGGCUGGCUCUGGAUGGAGCCAGGCAUCGGCAAGGGCUCUCGGGAGCUGCUGCCGUCAGACUCCUGCCUCAAGCCUGAGUGGAAGCACCUGAGGACCGGGGAUCAGGACCUGACCUGGGGCUGGCCUCAGGCCCACGUGCACGUGACUGCCCUCUGUGGAAGCCAGCUUAAAUCCUAGCCCUGUGAGAGCUUCCUGUGCCCAGCAGGAAGGAAGUCAAAUAAACCACACUGACUACCUGUGCUUACUGAG
rnacentral:sRNA from 1 species